rnacentral:rRNA from 1 species
UACGCACAGCAAUGUGAGUGGCGCAAGGGUGAGUAAUGCGAAGGUAACCAACCCUGAAGUUGGGCAUAGCCGCGGGAAACUGCGGGUAAUUCCCAGCGACGUUGCGAGAUGGCAUCAUUUUGCAACCAAAGGUGUGAUUCCGCUUUAGGACGGGCCUUCGUGGUAUUAGGUAGUUGGUGAGGUAACGGCUCACCAAGCCUACGAUGCCUACCGGGUGUGAGAGCAUGACCCGGCACACUGGAACUGAGACACUGUCCAGACACCUACGGGUGGCUGCAGUCGAGAAUCUUCGGCAAUGGGCGAAAGCCUGACCGAGCGACGCCGCGUGAGGGAUUGAAGGCCUUCGGGUUGUAAACCUCUUUCGUAGAGGAGGAAGGGGCUGUGAAGAACAGUCCUUGACCUAUUCUAGGAAGAAGCUUGGGCUAAGUUCGUGCCAGCAGCCGCGGUAAGACAAACCAAGCGAACGUUAUUCGGAAUUACUGGGCUUAAA